CUUUAAAAAUUUUAUCUAUUUGCUGUUAAAAACAACAUGCUUGAUAGAAUAAUCAAACAAUGACAUGUGGUGUGCCAUGUGUACGUCAUAUUGAUGUACAAAGAUCAAAUUUUAACAGUAGAAAUGGAUAGAAUUUUUAAUC
rfam:Gossypium hirsutum cultivar TM-1 chromosome 11, whole genome shotgun sequence